rnacentral:rRNA from 1 species
CUUUGAUUAUGGCUCAGGACGAACGCUGGCGGCGUGCCUAAUACAUGCAAGUCGAGCGAGCUUGCCUAGAUGAUUUUGAUGCUUGCAUCAAAUGAAACUAGAUACAAGCUAGCGGCGGACGGGUGAGUAACACGUGGGUAACCUGCCCAAGAGACUGGGAUAACACCUGGAAACAGAUGCUAAUACCGGAUAACAACACUAGACGCAUGUCUAGAGUUUGAAAGAUGGGUUUUCUAUCACUCUUGGAUGGACCUGCGGUGCAUUAGCUAGUUGGUAAGGUAACGGCUUACCAAGGCAAUGAUGCAUAGCCGAGUUGAGAGACUGAUCGGCCACAUUGGGACUGAGACACGGCCCAAACUCCUACGGGAGGCAGCAGUAGGGAAUCUUCCACAAUGGACGAAAGUCUGAUGGAGCAACGCCGCGUGAGUGAAGAAGGGUUUCGGCUCGUAAAGCUCUGUUGAUGGUGAAGAAAGAUAGAGGUAGUAACUGGCCUUUAUUUGACGGUAAUCAUUUAGAAAGUCACGGCUAACUACGUGCCAGCAGCCGCGGUAAUACGUAGGUGGCAAGCGUUGUCCGGAUUUAUUGGGCGUAAAGCGAGUGCAGGCGGUUCAAUAAGUCUGAUGUGAAAGCCUUCGGCUCAACCGGAGAAUUGCAUCAGAAACUGUUGAACUUGAGUGCAGAAGAGGAGAGUGGAACUCCAUGUGUAGCGGUGGAAUGCGUAGAUAUAUGGAAGAACACCAGUGGCGAAGGCGGCUCUCUGGUCUGCAACUGACGCUGAGGCUCGAAAGCAUGGGUAGCGAACAGGAUUAGAUACCCUGGUAGUCCAUGCCGUAAACGAUGAGUGCUAAGUGUUGGGAGGUUUCCGCCUCUCAGUGCUGCAGCUAACGCAUUAAGCACUCCGCCUGGGGAGUACGACCGCAAGGUUGCAACUCAAAUGAAUUGACGGA